GUUUUCAUUACAAACGGAAUCACUAAGGGGUUGAAGGCUUUAGGAGUGUUUGGUUUGGUUUGGGUUUUUAAUGACCUGAAGCAGAACUUGGCAUCUAUUGCCCAGCCCAGAAGAAAGGAAGUUUAUUUUGGGGGUCAGAUAAAGAGUCUCUGGCUCUCUUGAUUUUUAUUUUUGUGGAAGAGGAAGGACUGUUUGCUUGCUCACUCUGGAUCCUUCUGUCUGUGCUGGGCUUUCUCUCAGCUUCCUGAGCAGAUAGCGAAUCCGAAGGACGGUGACAAGAGGCUGUGGCUUCCUGCUCUGCCACCUCAGCACACGCUGGGGAGCCCAGACCAGACUGACCGCACCAUGCAUGCUUAUCGUGUGAAUGGGGUGAAUGAAGACCUCUCCUGGUGUCCUGGAGGCCAGCCGGGUGGGAACCCAACACACCUGAGUCAGGGGUCUCUGCUGUCACGCGGCUUUUUCAUUCGGAUCGAAUCAUCUGCCUUGGCUCUUGGUGGCUAUUUAAUAUUCAGUCACUCACACGAUCAUUCAGUAAAUAUUUAUUUCUUCAGGCUUUCUUAUGUGAGGCAGUCUGCUGAUGAUCCCUAAUUGAGCUAUUUUUUCCCUUGCUGAGUUUCAGCUGAGGAAGAAAAAAGAAAUUGCGGCACUUUUCAAGGCAAAACAAACCAUGCAGCAACCACAGACCGCGAACAGCAGAACUAUUUUUCUCGAGGCUUAUUAGUCCUGGGUCUUUUAAAGAAAUAAUAGUUGCCAAUUGUGGAGUGGUUUUUGAAGGCCUUUGGAAUCAAGUAGCAAUCCAGAAACUUACGUCUUCACAGAGCAGCCUCUCCAGGCAGAACAAGGGCUCUGGAUUGUGUAUUUCCUAUGCUCUGAUUUGACUGAGUUUUCUUCUGAUAAAAAAAAUUUAAGGACAUUGAUGGACACAGGAAGUACUUUUACCGUAAGAACGAUUCUUUCGACAGACUUGAUGACACACAAGCGGUGUCAGAAUCAGAAGGCUUCUUUCUGUUUCAGACCCAAAAGGGGAGCUGACAUCUUUUAUCAAAAAGACAGACAAUUCCAAUCCCUUGACGAUUCUAGAUUAUGGAUCCCAGGAGGCUCGCCUUACACCAGCGUCUUAUCACUGGAAUCAGAGUGGCUGCUGUUUAUUUUCUGAACCUCGGCAUAGUUUUCAAGGUGUUGCCUGCCAGCAGGGCCUGGGCCGACAGUGACAUGUGUUAUUGUCACAUCGCUAGAUCUGAAAGAAAACGUGAGAUAAAUAAAUACCAGUGUCUUCUUGGA